ACGGAGGGGGCAAGCGUUAUUCGGAAUUAUUGGGCGUAAAGGGCGUGUAGGCGGCUUGAUAAGCCAAAGGUGAAAUCCCUCAGCUCAACUGAGGAACUGCCUUUGGAACUGUCUCGCUAGAGGCCAGGAGAGGGUAGCGGAAUUCCCAGUGUAGCGGUGAAAUGCGUAGAUAUUGGGAGGAACACCAGUGGCGAAGGCGGCUACCUGGACUGGUACUGACGCUGAGGCGCGAAAGCGUGGGGAGCAAACAGG
rnacentral:rRNA from 1 species